rnacentral:misc_RNA from 1 species
AUUAUGUCAAUGUGAAGUACUGUUGUGUAAAUUACUGAUAAGUUGUUUUUUUUAAAUUGUAUCAUUGACGUUAGUAUUAUUUAAUGUAGGUAUUUUCAGGGGAUAGUUUUGCAACUGACUUCGACCGAUUGUCGGAUAUAUGCCUAAAUGCUUAAUAUCACACAAUAUUCGAAAUUAAUAUUAUAACGAGUUCACUUUGGACGGAUUCCAUUUUGCGCAUAAUUCAACAUGAGAAACUCGUGGUCUAACCACAAGCUGUAUCAAUCGCUGUGCAGAAAGAAAACGUUCACUGAUGAAGUCGAACCAGGAAAACAAAAGUUGAAACGUGUGUUGAAUAUCUUUGACUUGACCGCUCUGGGCAUUGGCGCCACGUUAGGAUGUGGCGUAUACGUGUUGGCAGGGACGGUAGCCAAAUCUAUCGCUGGACCAGCCGUAGUAUUAUCUUUCAUCGUAGCGGCGAUCGUCUCAUCGUUUUCAGGAGUUUGUUACGCUGAAUUCGCUGGCCGUGUACCCAAAGCUGGAUCUGCAUAUAUUUAUAGUUAUGUGACUGUCGGAGAAUUUAUUGCGUUUUUUAUUGGUUGGACUUUGUACAUCGAACACACUAUUGGUACAGCUUCUGUCGCCAAAGCAAUGACUAAUUAUUUAGAUGCUUUACUUGGAGACCCUCAAAAAAGAUAUUUUAAAAAACAUCUUCCUAUCCAUGUGGAUUUUUUGGGCGAAUAUCCAGAUUUCGCAUCAUUUUUUUUCGUCAUAUUUAUUGCGUUAAUUGUGGCUUGGGGUGUUAAGAAAUCUUCGACCCUCAAUAAAGUGUUUACCGCGUUGAACUUAUUGACUUUGGCUACAGUAGUGGCUAGUGGUUUUUUUUUGGGUAAACUAUCCAAUUGGAAUAUUCCAAAAAGUGAAAUUCCACCCGGAGUGGAUGGCGGCAAUGGAGGAUUUUCACCAUUCGGUUGGAAGGGAAUAAUCGCAGGCGCUGCUAGAUGUUUUUACGGGUUUAUUGGAUUCGAUUCUAUCGCAACUACAGGCGAAGAGACCAAAGAUCCAAAAAAAACCAUUCCUUUGGCGAUCGUAUUAUCGUUGUUCUUCGUCACGUUGGCAUACUCUAGCGUAGCGUCGGUGUUAACUUUGAUGUGGCCUUAUUAUGAUCAAGACCCGGACGCACCUCUACCAGUUAUUUAUGCGAACAUGGGAAUGCCAAUCAUCAAAUACAUGGUUACCUGCGGUGCAGUGUUUGCUCUGAUGACAACCUUGUUGGGGUGUUUGUUUCCUAUACCGCGAAUCUUAUACGCCAUGUCCAGCGACGGUCUUUUGUUCAAGUGUUUGUCGAGGGUCAACGAAAAAACCAAAACUCCCGUUUUAGCGACAAUGAUUUGCGGAGUCGGCACCGGUUUGUUGUCGUCUAUGUUCAAUCUCGAACAACUCGUCGAGAUGACGUCUAUCGGCACGCUCAUGUCCUAUCUGAUGGUCUGCGUCUGCAUAUUGAUACUCAGGUAUAAAAACAACAAUACGGACGGUCAGGACUUGGACAACUCCGAAGUUCAUAUACUUUACAAGUGGUGGAAUGCAUCGAACACAGGACUGAUCAACUCGGAUUCUCAAUACGUGUCGAGAGUUCUGAUACUUUCUUACAGUACCAUUCGUUCCUCUAGUGCCAUGUUUGAGUAUACUUCUUAAUUUAUACCUAAUGAUGGAGUUGAAUGUCAAGACUUGGAUGAGAUUUGGUGUUGGUAUUAUAGUAGGAUUAUUGAUAUAUGCUUUUUAUGGAGUUCACAAUAGUUUGGAAGGAUAUAAACAACGAGCAAUUAAUGAUAAAAACCACAAACAAGAAACGAAAAUCUCUAACUGAUUUUUUGCAUAAUAAAAUAAAU